CUUUGGUCCUCUAGAGGCGAUAUGCUGUGAACUCCGCCAGGCCUGGAAGGGAGCAACGGUAACAGCGGCUUCGGGCUUUAGAUGUGACUGGGUGGG
rnacentral:SRP_RNA from 2 species